CCUACGGGUGGCAGCAGUGAGGAAUAUUGGUCAAUGGACGAGAGUCUGAACCAGCCAAGUAGCGUGAAGGAUGACUGCCCUAUGGGUUGUAAACUUCUUUUAUCUGGGAAUAAAAUGUUCCACGUGUGGGAUUUUGUAUGUACCAUAUGAAUAAGGAUCGGCUAACUCCGUGCCAGCAGCCGCGGUAAUACGGAGGAUCCGAGCGUUAUCCGGAUUUAUUGGGUUUAAAGGGAGCGUAGGCGGAUUGUUAAGUCAGUUGUGAAAGGUUGGGGCUCAACCGUGAAAUUGCAGUUGAAACUGGCAGUCUUGAGUACAGUAGAGGUAGGCGGAAGUCGUGGUGUAGCGGUGAAAUGCUUAGAUAUCGCGAAGAAAUCCGAUUGCGAAGGCAGCACACUGGACUGCAACUGACACUGAGGCUCGAAAGCGUGGGUAUCAAACAGGAUUAGAUACCCGAGUAGUC
rnacentral:rRNA from 1 species